AUUGAACGCUGGCGGCAGGCCUAACACAUGCAAGUCGAGCGGCAGCGGGAAGUAGCUUGCUACUUUGCCGGCGAGCGGCGGACGGGUGAGUAAUGUCUGGGAAACUGCCUGAUGGAGGGGGAUAACUACUGGAAACGGUAGCUAAUACCGCAUAACGUCGCAAGACCAAAGAGGGGGACCUUCGGGCCUCUUGCCAUCAGAUGUGCCCAGAUGGGAUUAGCUAGUAGGUGGGGUAAUGGCUCACCUAGGCGACGAUCCCUAGCUGGUCUGAGAGGAGGACCAGCCACGCUGGAACUGAGACCCGGUCCAGCCUCCGACGGGAGGCAGGAGUGGUGAAUAUUGCACAAAGGGCGUAAGCCUGAUGCAGCCAUGCCGCGUGUGUGAAGAAGGCGUUUGGGUUGUAAAGCACUUUCAGCGAGGAGGAAGGCAUUAAGGUUAAUAACCUUAGUGAUUGACGUUACUCGCAGAAGAAGCACCGGCUAACUCCGUGCAAGCAGCCGCCGUAA
rnacentral:rRNA from 1 species